AGCUGCAGAAACCCUCAAAUGAAAGGCAGAGACAGUUAGAACUGCACAAUAAGAGAUCGCCCUCUGCUGGACAUUAAAGGGAAUAUUUCACUUCUAAUCUCUCUAGAAUUAGACAAGCCUGGCUGAGCUGAAGUAGCUCCCAGCAAUAGUCUCCACUACUGACCUCCACAAACCUCUGUGACCCCCUUAUUUUUCCUCUCCACUUAAUGCCUUAAGGAUCAUCUGGGGGAGUGAAAUGUAAUAUAACGCUCAAAUCAUUCUGUCUUCUUUCAGAAAACUCUGGUGGGAAUCAGAAGAGAUUUCAUUUUCCCACAUCUCUAUAAAAAGCUGCACUUUAAACAUCAGAUUCCACACUGAGCAGAAAUGUCUGAUCAAACAAUAUCAGAUAAAUAUGAUCAUCUUUACUCAGUGUUGAUAGAAAGAUGAUUUCCAUAGAGGCUCCACUUUGCAUUAUCAGCCCAUGCUUCAGUGCUCUGCUAGUGUUUAUAGUCCUGUGAGUUUAACACUUCAUGACUGAGAGCUGCUGCCCCACAAACUUCACCCACAGCAACCAUGACUUUGGUCUCCAUCUUCAUCUGGACACUGACCCUCUGGACUCAAGAAUCCAGUGGUCAGGUGACUGUGACUCAGACCCCUGCAGUGAAAACUGUUUCUCCAGGAGACUCAGUUACCAUCAGCUGUAGAACCAACCCUGAGGUGUACCAAGGAUGGAGUAAUCAACCUUUAGCCUGGUAUCAGCAGAAACCUGGAGAAGCUCCUAAACUCCUGAUCUACACUGCUAACACUAGACAGUCAGGUGUUCCAGCUCGUUUCAGUGGCAGUGGAUCUCAUUCUGACUUCACUCUGACCAUCAGUAAUGUCCAGACUGAAGAUGCAGGAGAUUAUUACUGUCAGAGUUAUCACAGUGGCUACGUGUUCCCACAGUGUUUAGUAGGUGUACAAAAAGCUCCCUCAGUCAGCUGCACAGAGACUGCACUGCUGCAGCUGGACUCUACUGCAGGUGCUGAGGGGGAGGAUGGACACACACAAUAACACACUCUGUGGAAAUCAGGACUUUAGAUGGAAUUUGUUCUUCUUUUCAUUAGACUGUAAAUGCUUUGUGAUUUUAGGGAUUUAUUUCCUGAUCUCCACAGGUCUGGAACUAGCUGUAGAGUUCAGCUAGAGUCUCAUUUAUUAUAAAGUUUAUUAUAAGGAUCUGGACAGAUUAUGAAAUGGAUGUUUCUCUCAGUCCUGAGAAAGAGGGAGUCCCUGAAGAAAUCCUUCAACAAACUCAGACUCAGCAGUUUUAUUAGGAGAUCAUAUUCAGAGGUGAGUAGACUGUAAACAAUAGUUUGUCUGUUCAAUUUUACACAUAAACAUAUGGUAAUAAAUGGUUUAACUGUUUUUAUUCAUCCAAGAUAAAUACUUUUAAUAAAAUAAUAAAAUAAAAUACUUUUAAUUUGCUCCUUCAAAUAUUUAUUUGAGUUAAACCAGUUCAGUUGCCACAUGAAGACAUUCAGGCUAUUGUUUAGAUCUUUACUGAAGAAGUUACUGUAAAACAAACAGUAAAAAUAUAUAAACUGAAUGUCUGUUAUUAGCUUAUAACCUGUCUUUAAGACGGAGCUGCUAUAAAAUCUUCACAUUCACC